rnacentral:lncRNA from 10 species
GUGGCGCGGGCGGGGUCGGGGGCCGGGUCGGGCGCCCGAGGUCCUGGGCCGGGGUUCCGCGGGUUCUUCGCCCCCGGGCCUUUCAGUGGCGCGGGCCGAGUGGCCAUGGCGCUCGGGUGCGCGCAGUGCACGCGGGUUAUCACCGGAGUGGGACUGGUGACUUCAUUAGAAGAGGAAGGAAGACCUGAGCUGGCCUGUGAAUAUGCUCCGCCCCCUGGCCAUGUGACACCUGCGCCACCCUCAGGACUCUGCAGAGUCCCCAGCAGCAAGAAGGCCCUCACCAGGUGCAGCCCCUCAACCUUGGACUUCUCAGCCCCCAGGGCUGUAACAAAUAAAUUCUUUUUUAAAGUAAAUUACCCAGUUUCAGGUAUUCUGUUAUAAGCAACAGAAUAAGAAACAGACUAAGACAAGAG